AAUACAUGAGAAGCUGUCCAACAGCGGGGGACAACGUUUGGAAACGAACGCUAAUACCCCAUAGGCCUAACGGUUAAAGUCGCAAGACACUGUUGGAGGUGCUCGUGUCCUAUCAGUUUGUUGGCGGGGUAACGGCCCACCAAGACGACGACGGGUAGCCGGCCUGAGAGGGUGUACGGCCACACUGGAACUGAGAUACGGUCCAGACUCCUACGGGAGGCAGCAGUGGGGAAUAUUGGGCAAUGGGAGCAAUCCUGACCCAGCGACGCCGCGUGAACGAAGAAGGCCUUCGGGUCGUAAAGUUCUUUUAUGCGGGAAGAAAUCUGACGGUACCGCAUGAAUAAGCCCCGGCUAACUACGUGCCAGCAGCCGCGGUAAUACGUAGGGGGCGAGCGUUGUCCGGAAUUACUGGGCGUAAAGGGCACGCAGGCUGCGCGUCAAGCCAGCUGUUAAAUAAUGGGGCUUAACCCCACUAUGCAGUUGGAACUGAUGUGUUGGAGUGCUGGAGAGGCAAGUGGAAUUCCCAGUGUAGCGGUGAAAUGCGUAGAUAUUGGGAAGAACAUCGGUGGCGAAGGCGACUUGCUGGCCAGUAACUGACGCUGAAGUGCGAAAGCCAGGGUAGCAAACGGGAUUAGAUACCCCGGUAGUCCUGGCCGUAAACGAUGAAUGCUGGGUGUGCGAGCAGAGAUGUUGGCGUGCCGUAGUUAACGCGAUAAGCAUUCCGCCUGGGGAGUACGGUCGCAAGAUUGAAACUCAAAGGAAUUGACGGGGGCCC
rnacentral:rRNA from 1 species